GUGAAAGCGACCAAUCGUUUCCGUCUUCGAGACGCCAAUCGCCUCUCGAGCCCCUCGUCCCCUCCUCUCCACCACGGGCUCCAGCACCACCACUGCGCCGCAGCCUCCUCCCCUUCACUUCUCUCCUCCUCUGCCCCCAGCGCAUGGUCGCCGUCGCUCGUCUCUUCCUCUCCCGCGUCCGCUCGGCGGCGGUGGCGGUGACUUGCAGGCAAAGGGCAACGGCGGCGGCGCUUGUUUCGUUGCAGCGCCAUGGACCAGCCCCUAUAGGAGAGAGGGAGAGAGAGAAGGAAGGAGAGGAGGGAGAAAGAGAGGAAAUAGGAGUUUGAGGUGCGUCGGCUGCCAGGAGGGGGUCAUCCGCCGGCGUGCGCCUGUGCCGGCGAGGUCGGGCGAGACCUGGCGGUGGGCGGCGGCUCGAUCUGUCGGCUGCCGGGAGGGGGUCAUCCGCCGGCGUCCGCCUGUUCCGGCGACGUCGGGCGAGACCUGGCGCUUUGGCGGCGGCUCGAUCCGCUCCUGGAUCAGGAGCCGCGAGGAGGUUGGGGCUCAGGCGUGCUGCUUGGGAGGAUGCGCUCUGCCUCUUCCUCGCAAAGCAAAAGGAACAUGUGCAGUGCGGCGGACGGCUGCUGGGCAACGAUACCUGCACCUGGUGCUCUACCCAGCAUGGACCGUCAAGUUGCUGGGAUUGGUGGUGGGUGUUGGUCAUACCUUGGUAUAUAUGCUUGGCACUAUUUGGAGUCAAAAUUACGAACGUCCACUGCCGAUCUAUUUGGUAUUUUGGUGCAUGUCUUCCCCCGGCCCAGGUAAGAAGGUACUCCAAUUUUGAUGGUGCAAUUUUCUUUGUCUAUGACUUUUGGAUGCUCCCCAUUUAUCAGUAAUUAUAAUCAGGGAGUCCCAUCAUAGAUCCACUCUGCAAUACCAUGAAAUAUCUUUUAUGGACCUUACAGUUGUGUUGGUAAACUAAAUUGGGAACUCCCUACAAGUCAGAAGCUAAUCUUGUGUUAUGUGUUGUCAAUGUUCAGUUUCUGUACUGGUUUCUACAGUAAUUAGUCAUCUUAACUCAGGUGCAUUGCAAAGUGUUACGCUUAAUAUGACGAUUUCAUUAGUUUUCCAUUUUAAAUCGCUAAAAUGUGCUAUUUUAUUUUCAUCCUUCAAAUGUACAAGAUAGUAGAAUUGUGAUAAACCUCUUACUAGGCUCUAUUAAGAUGCAGCAACUACAUCAGUUUGUAUUUAAUACACAAACAUGGGUUUUGAGCUUUUGCCCCUACUGUGGCUGCACUUUCCUUCUUGUACUGCCAUGUAGCAGCAACAUCACAUUUUAUGUCAAGCAACCUACAAAAUGAUGCAACCAUUGGGCUAUAAAAUGAAGGAAUUGUAAAUGCAUUUUUUUCCCGUACAGCCGAAAGAAAAACGAUCCCAGCAUCAAAUGCAUUUUUUUUUCCAGAACAAAUGCCUGAAACAUUCUUUCCUGCUUAGGCCUGGCUGGCUCUGACCUGAUUAGUGGCUGGCCAUACCCUAUUCUGUUCACUCAGCAGUGUUGUCACUCAGUUUGACAGCCAUAGUCAAGACAAUCUUCCCAAGUAUGUCGAAGCAGAGCAGUGGCAGUCUGUGUUCAGUGUUCAUGUUCAGAAGAAAACGAUUAAUUGAAAAAAUUAAAGAGGAUGGUUUUCAGUUCCCAGUCUAUUCCUCUCCCUCAUUAAUCAGUUUUACUUCUCUGUCAACACUGGGGGUUUUGAUUCACAUAAAUAUGUGUCUUGAAGUGUUGAAUGUGGCUUGUUGACUUUUGGGUUCUCCAUACAUCCAUACUAUUUAUCUGUGACGUGUGCGCUAGCACUGCUGACAACACCCCUUUGGAUCCGUGGCAACUGGCAUCCUUGCAAACCUCCUGAAUAUUUCAAGCCCGUGAGGAAAGCAUCUUGGUGGUGGCUACAACGAUUUCCCCAUCAUGUCAUCCCUCUCUCUAUGUGCUUCUCUCCAUGGACAGCAUCGCCAUGGCCAAAUCGAUCAUUAAAGCCCUAGGUACAAGGGGCUCAUUGGUCGCUUGGCCUGCUUUUGGUAUAUCAAUGAGGAUAUCCCUGACAUAAAUUCGUUUAGUGACAGUCUUGGAGAGAAAUUUACUAUUGUCGAUGCAUACACUCAUCCGGGGUAGAAUCUGAUCUCGAAUAAGCAUUGUGCUCCACCAGAAGAAAAAACUAUGGAGCAUCUGGAUGUCUUAAUCCUAACAUUCGGGAGUGCACUUUGUUUGAUGCCUUGAAAGAGCAGUAUAUUGGGCAUCAUGAGAUAGUCAUCCAGAGUUUGGUCAGAUUUGAACUGAUUUGGCUUACAAUUUGUAAUUUUGCAAUCAGCUUUCCUACAAGGUACUUUCAGAUCUUCAUUCGAGUUAUUAUACAUGAUCGUUAAAAAUCCCUCGAAAAUGAACUCCAUUGCUGUAAUUGAAAAUUUAAAAGCACAAGAUUUAAUGGCUUGUGUGGUCAUACAUAUUGAUGCUUAUUUAUUUUUAGUAGACCCUUUAAAGGAAUAAGAUCAUCGUUUAGUAUGCAAGCAGCUAUAUUUCCUUACCAUUUGUCCAUGUUUUGCUUUCUAGAAGGCAAAUUUUAUACACAAGGCGUUGGUUAUACUGAGGUCUGCGUCUAAUCAUUAGGCAGCAAUGUCUCGACUACUUUCCACCAAAUAGUGAUAAGUUGGCUGCUCUUUUGUGUCUAUUUGUGCAACUGUGUGAUGGUGACAAUGGAGUCAAAUGUAUAUAAUGCUCAGCGGUGGCAGACACUAGCCCGGCUUGGGCAAGGGCGCAACUGCUGAUGACCGCGGGUGGGUGGACAAUGGAGGCUGUUGACCAUCAGCAGCUACGAGUUCAAGUUGUCAUCAUAGGCUCCUCAAUUUUUACUCUCCUGCUUGUGCUGAGGGAACUCGAUUUCUUGAUUCUAUCUCAGGAAAACAACCCCAACCUUAAAAUUAUAAUGGCAUCCCACACUGUACUUUCCUGAAUCAUGUCGUAUGCAAGGACUCCCUUAAAUAUUACUCCCUCUGAAUUACAUGCGCAGACCUUCUGGAUGGUUGGCUUGGUUGUCCGGAUCAGCUUUAUAUGGGGAAACCAUAUUCCAACAGUAAAAUUGAUAAAAUUGAAGUAGCAAGGUAUUUCUUUGCUUAUUUGGUUGCUUCUCUUUCUACAACUUUCUUACUGAAGGAACAGAACAGAAGGCCUUACUGUUACGGCAAUGGUAUUUGAUUAAGUAUAUCACCAUCAUCAUCAUCAUGCUGCUAAAUUCAUAGUCUUGAACUUUGAUUGUUUGUUAUACGGUAUAGAAUAGUGAAGUCAAACAGUUAAUUCAGCACUGCUCCUCCACGUUAGAAUUAACUAUUCGGGCUUUUGAUAGAGGUGAUUUUGUUUAGAUAAUUAGUCUAGGGAGUAACCUUUUGAUCGAUAAGGCACAUGUUUAUUUGCUUUUUCAUUCAGCGAUACACUAAAUUAACCAUCACCAUCAGCUAAAAGUAGGCAUACAAAACAUGAAAAUUUUGCCUUGGAUGUAUGCCUCACUUAGCUGUCGCUCAUUUAUUUCAAGGAAGUUAUUCGUCGAGCUUUCUUAUGCUUCCAGUUUCUAAAUAUGAAAUUUAAUACAAUAUAUUAAUAUCUGAGGAGGUGAGAGAAGAAGAAAAGAGGGGCUAUCAGGUCGGAUUUAUGUGCUAUAUUCAUUUUAAUUUGUUGAGCAAUAUUCCACCGGCAUUUCUUAAGAGCUAAAACUGAACCAGAAUUCCAAGUUUAGGGGUGCAACAAUUCAGUUUAAACAUCCAAUAUCCGGCUGUUUUACAUAGCUAGCUGCAGCCAAUGCGAAGCCUUUACCUUCGGGAACUACUUCUUACUGCGUGCCCUGACUAAACUGAACUAGAUCACUUGUAUAUCUCUGAACUAAAAUACACCCAAGUUCCUAUUUCUGCUAGAACUGAAUAUAUAUGGUUGCCUUGUGACUUUCUUCUUUUAUGUUGUGUGCAAUCUCCAAUCAAUAUCUUUUUUGCAUUUCACAACGAUAUCUCUUCUGCUCAAUUUUUAUGCUACAUUUCGCCUCUAUAGUCAACCUGAACAGACCUGAUCCAAAGGAAUUGUACUACAUACAAGGUGUGUCUGAACAUCGUUUCAAAGAUAGUGUUGCCUUGUGAAAGCAACAUUCUUUUUGUUUCAUGGUUCAAUAGAGGUCUCAUAGUGAACUACAACACUAGGUUGCAGUAUAAUGUCAGCUGAUUGCAACAUCCUGAGUUACUUUAGAAGUUUUCAUCUGGAAACUUGAUUUUCUUUUGACAUUCAUUGCACAUGUAGUCUGAUUUGUGCACAAGGAAGCUCACAAAUUUGUCUCCAUCUUUUUCGUAGUAAUCAUAUGGCUUGCAUAUUUUAUCAGACUGAUCAUAGUCACGAAGAUCAGACUAAUAAUAUUUGGUAGAGAAGAUCAGAAGAAACAUUUAUAUCAUAUUUUUGUAUGCUUUUUCUGUAGAAAAGGUACCAUGGAUUGAUUGUGUUGGAUCCCAUUACUAUAUGAUGUAUUUGACUGCUAUUCCUAAAGACUACUCCUGGACAGAGUGUUCUAUGUUGACAUGUCUUACAUUCUAUUGUGUCGCCUAUCUGUAUAGUUACUCGGAUCUUACAUUUUUGUAUUUUUGUCGAUGCAGGUGUGUUCUUCCUACUAUAAAGCAACAUGGAUUAAUUUAAAUUAAAUUGUGCAUAUUUUGGAAAAUAAAUCUUGUUCAUGUAUGUUCUGAACUGAGACAAAUAUUCUUCAUUGUCUAUGCUUUUUCCUUCUGUUAAUGAUGAUAGUGAAGCUCUCCAUCUUA